GGUGCCCUGAGAUAAGACUGGAGAUGA
rnacentral:piRNA from 1 species